UGUCUCACGCGAAAUUUUUGUUUAAUCGAGCGUUCCAAGAAAUAUUAUUAAAAAGUAAAAGAAACUUUUUUGACCUCAUUUUAGCGAUUAAAAUGGAUUUUUUCAACAUCAUUAUGUCGACGCCGGUCAGCUGUUGCUUGUCAUAAACAACAUAAAUAAGAUUGCAGAAGCUGAAACUAACGCUUCAAGUUUUCUUUAUCCUACCACGUUCCAUCGUUAAUAGAAUACGACUUCCUUGUUGACCUGUUCAAUGCUGAGAUUGAAAUUGCAGUCACAGUUUCUGGGGACGAGGGUUUAUGCCGUCUAGCAGCAGCAUUGUUAAAAAGGGUUAGAAAUUAUGCAGUCCUGAACGCGACCCUACUGCGAUGUGUGGGAAGCGGCGAGGCUCCAUGCCGAUUCCCUAAAUAGCCAGAAUUGAUUAAGCAGCUCAUUUUGGCACGCUAAAGAUCGCUGCUCUAAUUCGCCUUUUGCAGUAGAUAAACAGCAUCAAAGUUCCAGGCGGUCCUUCUAAAUAGCGCCUAAGCAGCUUCCAUAAGCUACGGUGCCGGGGAUUAUUUUUCUUUGUGUUUUAUUUUCAAGCAAGCGUCAUCGAUGAAAUAAACAACAGGAUUUGUUUUGUUUGUGUA